rnacentral:rRNA from 1 species
AUUGAACGCUGGCGGCAGGCCUAACACAUGCAAGUCGAGCGUGAAAGUCCUUCGGGAUGAGUAAAGCGGCGGACGGGUGAGUAACGCGUAGGAAUCUACCUAAUAGUGGGGGAUAACGUUUCGAAAGGAACGCUAAUACCGCAUACGUUCUGAGGAAGAAAGCAGGGGAUCGCAAGACCUUGCGCUAUUAGAUGAGCCUGCGUCCGAUUAGCUAGUUGGUGGGGUAAAGGCCUACCAAGGCGACGAUCGGUAACUGGUCUGAGAGGAUGAUCAGUCACACUGGAACUGAGACACGGUCCAGACUCCUACGGAGGCAGCAGUGGGAAUAUUGGACAAUGGGGCAACCCUGAUCCAGCCAUGCCGCGUGUGUGAAGAA